GGUGGGUGUCAGUCUAACCAUGUUUCAGAGAUUGUUAGUCAUGACUAGAUUUACACUCAUCUA
rnacentral:pre_miRNA from 1 species